CUCACAUUCCCUCAUUCUCACCGUUUAGCAUCUAAGCCCCACAGUGACAUUUCCACCUCCUCACUGCUCCUCAGCCGACACAGGCCGUGACAGUUUUUAAAGGAUCUUCAGUGACCUUUCAGAACACCAACUGGUGGUCUCAAAUUGUUCUCACCCCCUCCACAGCAGCCUCAGAGGCAGCAAGUCCUGACUGUCCCAAUGGUCCCCUGCUCCUGCAUGACUGGACUCAGGUCCAGGAGAGAGGAGGAGGAAGAAGGACAACAUGCAGAGAACAAAUGUGGAAAGAAAUAUUUAUCAACAAAAGCUUGGCAAACCUUGAUUAAUAUUUCUCCCUUGCACUGUUUUCCUGAUUUCCCCGAACCCCAAGAUAUUUAUAGCUAGAGAAGACAAACCUUUUUGUUUAUAACUUCUCCACCAAGCCAGGACAGCUUGUGUGGGGAAUUCCAACGCUCCCUCCACCCCACCCCCAACACAAUAUUUAAGAAACAUUUUUGACCCAAGGGAUUUCUGCUAAAGAAGGGAGGAGGUAAGAGGUUCCUCUUGCUGGCUGUGUGACCCACCUGCUGUGUGUCCCUCCCACUGGAGGAAUGGCCCCAGCAGUCUCCUCCUGGGAAAAGAAAAUACUGAAGCCUAGGGACAACGAGAGGAAGCUUGUCUUCACAAGAAAGAGGACAGACAUGGAGCUGAGACAAUGAUGGACCACGCCUGGGCCAGACUGCUUAUUUGAGUGUGUCUCUUGCUUUGUAUUUAAACCUUAUCCUCCUGUCAGCAAUCCAAAGAUGGAUCUGAGGAGGGUGUGUCAAUGUCCUUCUUCCCCACGUAGCUAUAUUGAAUAAACCUCCUUUUUCUGGUUUUUAUUAUUAA